rnacentral:lncRNA from 1 species
GGCAAGCUGACUUUCAGAAUGCUUUCUGGAAAAUUCCCCCAGAGCCUUACAGUCAUCACAUCUAUGACACUCUGACUCUCCCUCUCUCUGCAGAUCCGUUCUAGGUUGAUCACAAAGCCUGCCUGAGACUGAAUUUACAAUUCCCCAAUCAAGACAUAUCUGUAUUUAUGUGAGUCUUUGUAAGCCAGUGAAGGGGACUUUCUGGUAUACAUCAGAAGGAAAUGAGGGAUAACGUAGAGGUUACUCCAGAGUUUCUGGCACCGUGUGGCUCAUGAUUUGUUGACUCUUUACCCAAACAGUUGAAAAACAUAAUUUGCAUCUGUCCCAGCAGCCUCUCCCUGAACACUGCGGCCCACUGACCCUUGUUUGCUCAUCAUCUCCACGCUCCAGCAAGGGGCAGGUGUGAAGUCUGACUGCUCUGUGAAGUGUUUAAACACAAUUCUGUGUCUUCCAUUCACAUUUAUAGAUGUCCCCCCCAACUUCUUUUCCAGCAGUUUCCUUCAGCCUCUCUGAGAAGAUAAUCUGAGGAGCAUUUGAGACAAGCUGCUCAAAAAAGCCCACAAGAAACACACAUCCACUCCAAGAGCAAGACAAAAAGCAAGGGGUUUCUCUGUGUAGCUUUGGAGCCUAUCCUGGCACUCACUCUGGAGACCAGGCUGGCCUCGAACUGAACUCACAGAGAUCCGCCACAGAUUCAAGAGUCUUAU